GGCCCGGAGAAGGAAUCUGAGACACUAUUCCUAGCUCUACGGAGUGCAGCAGUCGCGGAACUUUUACAAUGCACGCAAGUGUGAUAAAGCGAACCAAAGUGUUUUUCGUUUAGAAAAACUUUUUCUUAGUGUAAAAAGACAGAAGAAUAAGGAUUGGGCAAGACCGGUGCCAGCCGCCGCGGUAAUACCGGCGGUCCAAGUCGCAUCCACAUUUAUUGGGUCUAAAACAUCCGUAGCUUGUUUUACAAGUCUCUUGUGAAAUCCUAUGUCUCAAACAUAAGGCGUGCAAGAGAUACUGUACUACUAGAGACCGGAAGACGUAACGAGUACGGUAAAGGUAACGGUAAAAUGUGUUAAUCUUUAUCGGACUAACAAUGGCGAAGGCACGUUACGAGUACGGAUCUGACAGUGAGGGAUGAAGGCUAGGGGCGCGAAAGGGAUUAGAUACCCCUGUAGUCCUAGCAGUAAACACUGCUCACUAAACAUUAGUACCUCCUCGAGAGGUAUUAGUGCUGCAGAGAAGUCGGAGAGUGAGCUACCUGGGAAGUAUAGUCGCAAGGCCGAAACUUAAAGGAAUUGGCGGGGGAGCACAAUCG
rnacentral:rRNA from 1 species